ensembl:lncRNA
AAUGGUGCAGGGAGUACACAUUUCAUCUUUAAAAUCUACAAUUGAAAGAAAUAACAUCUUAUUUCAUUUUGGCAUUAUUCUAACAAGCAAAAAAAAAACUAUUGUUUAAAAAUGAAAAUGUAAGUGCUGCAAUGACGCUGUUGUAAAGGUAAGUGUGUUAAUUGAGAGACAAUGAAACUAGUGUACAGUAAUGUAAUAAUGUUGACAACCCCUGCUGUUCAGAAAGGAUAAACUAGCCGUGAGCAAAAAGUAAAAUGUCUUAUCUACUCAUACCAAAUUCUCUUUACAGUCUCCAAUGUUUCCUUUGCAGAUCCCUCACAAAUUAACUUCAGCUGUUUAGUUCCUGCAUUAGAAGGGACAAGGUCGCCCUCCUCUGGCCAAAUCUGUAAAAUCAAACAUGAUUUUAUGACAGUUGUGAUAUUAAUUGUUAAAGACACUCCUCUGGUAUUUUCUGAGCUUCACAUGAAGAUUAAGACCGUAAGGUGCAAUAAUAGUGCAUUUUUUCUUUUCAGGGUAAAUAAGACUAGACAUGAAGCUUCACACAGCCCACCUGAAGAUCCUGAAGCACCAACAGAAUUUUAGAACAACAAAGAGCAAGGUCUGGCAUGAAGAACACAGUGUUUUUCCAGUCACUCACUUUGUUGAGAUCAAAGCUCAGCUCAUCCUCCUCUUCCUCAUCUUUAUGAGGUAAAUGUCAUAAAGCUCUCAGCUGCUUAACUGACCUCAUUUCAUUCAGUGAUGUGCAAACGACAUCUCUUUUGAUUGGCUGUUUACUUUUCACUUCCUGUCGACAAAUCCGCCCCACUCAGAUCUUCAAACACUCUGUUUGCUGCAUAAACAGGCCUCAUCCUCACUUGUCCAAACACCUCAAACUCUGAAAGCUGCUCCAGUUGAGACUGUCAUGUAGAACUGAGAUUUUUUUUUCAUGGUUAUUCCCAUGAAGGCUAAGAUCAGGUUUUUGGGCAGGUGGAUCUGACCCCAGAUCAGCAUAAAACAGCAAAGUUCACAAAAGAAACAGACGUUUUGCUAUGGAUUACUUGUGUUCAGCUUAUGGCAUAUUGUGCAAUAACCAUAUACUGUAUCCUUAUAGUACUGUCAAAAUAUUUAUAUGUACAGC